rnacentral:misc_RNA from 1 species
UAUAAAGAGGAAAAGUUUGAAGAUGCAGCUAAAGUAUUGGAAAUGAUGAAGAAACAUGGGAUUCGACAAGGGGUAAGUACUUAUAAUAUUAGGAUCCAGAGUUUGUGUAAGCUAAAGAGGUCUGUAGAGGCAAAAGCUUUACUUUAUGGGAUGUUGUCUAGGAAAAUGAAGCCAAAUUCUGUUACUUAUUGUAAUUUGAUUCAUGGUUUUUGUAACGAAGGGAAUUUAGAGGAAGCAAAGAGGCUGUUUAACAGUAUGAUUAAUGGAGGGGGAAAACCAGAUGCUGAUUGUUAUUUCACGCUUAUGCACUACUUGUGUCGAGGUGGGGAUUUGGAUACUGCUUUGAGGAUUUGUAAGGAAAGCAUUGAGAAGGGAUGGGUUCCAAAUUUUGGGACUAUGAAGUCACUGGUGAACGGGCUUUCUCGUGUUGGGAAGGUGGCAGAGGCAAAGGAGCUUGUUGGGCAAAUGAAGGAGAGAUUUACGAAGAAUGUUAAUAUGUGGGAUGAGAUUGAAGCCAGUUUGUCGCAGUAGGGGUGGGGACAUUUAAACUUCGUUUUGUUUUGAUAAGACCAUCAAGGUAAGACUCUGUGAGAAUGUCAUAUUUGCACAAUUAAGAGGAAAUAAGAAUUUUGCAUUAACUUAAUGAGUUAUUGGACGUGUUCAUCAUUGAAUGAAAAUGUUGCCG